AGAAGAGAAAGUCAAAAAUGCUUGUAGGAACAUAUCUUUCAUGCGUUCCAAGCAGAACAAUCUCACUAAUAUACGUCUGCGACAGUCGUAAAAUCAGCUAAACAGUACUUCACGUGUGCGAAGAAGAUUGAUUCAGACCAAUCUUCAUUGAAGACCAGACUGUCGUUUCGAUUGCAGUCCAUUCGGUGCUGUAUCUUCGUGCAAAUAAAGCUAAUUUACCAUUGCUUACCACCGGCAAAGCUUCCCCCGGAACCCCGGGAACGAAUCUGACAGGGCAUGCGAUGGACAAGAAAUAAAAUAAAACCAAGUCAGCGUUAAUUUAAUCAGUGCCGAUGAGACAAUUUUCGCAUUGUUGCAAGACGCUGAUCAAAGCAGCAGCUGCACAGCAAUCAAUUUGAGCAAAGCAAAACUGGUCCGAGAAACAUGGUCCGAACGAGCGCAUUCCCGUGAAGCCACAGGGCGGAAGCGACGGACGUAGGGGCAAAUCAGAUCGAGCGAGAUAGCAUCGCGUCCCGCGGUUCGGAAAUGGCUGGUGGACACUCGGGACGGAACAUCUCGACGUUCAGCAGCGGAGAUUGAAUCAUAAACUCCCUGCGGGACUGGUUUGCCCUGUGAAUCCCAGACCGCACAUAAAUGACA